rnacentral:rRNA from 1 species
GGGCCCGCACAAGCGGUGGAGUAUGUGGUUUAAUUCGAUGCAACGCGAAGAACCUUACCAGGGUUUGACAUCCUGCGAAUCUCUUGGAAACGAGAGAGUGCCUUCGGGGAGCGCAGUGACAGGUGGUGCAUGGCUGUCGUCAGCUCGUGUCGUGAGAUGUUGGGUUAAGUCCCGCAACGAGCGCAACCCACGUCUUUAGUUGCCAGCAUUUAGUUGGGCACUCUAGAGAGACCGCCGGUGAUAAACCGGAGAAGGUGUGGAUGACGUCAAGUCAUUAUGCCCCUUACAUCCUGGGCUACACACGUACUACAAUGCUACGGACAAAGAGCAGCAAGUUCGCGAGGACAAGGCAAAUUCCCCAUAAACCGUGGCUC